rnacentral:rRNA from 1 species
UACGAAGGGGGCUAGCGUUGUUCGGAAUUACUGGGCGUAAAGCGCACGUAGGCGGAUAUUUAAGUCGGGGGUGAAAUCCCGGGGCUCAACCCCGGAACUGCCUUCGAUACUGGCGAUCUUGAGUCCGGAAGAGGUGAGUGGAACUCCUAGUGUAGAGGUGGAAUUCGUAGAUAUUAGGAAGAACACCAGUGGCGAAGGCGGCUCACUGGUCCGGUACUGACGCUGAGGUGCGAAAGCGUGGGGAGCAAACAGG